rnacentral:rRNA from 1 species
UCGGGAACUCAAAGGAGAGUGCCAGAGAUAAAAUGGAGGAAGGUGGGGAUAAUGUCAAGUCUUCAUGGCCCUUACGAGUAGGGCUACACCCGUGCUGCAAUGGCAUAUACAAAGAGAAGUGACCUCGCGAGAGCAAAAGGACCUCAUAAAGUAUGUCGUAGUACGGAGAGGAGUUUGCAACUUGAGUCCUCGAAGUCGGAAUUGCUAGUAAUGGUGGAUCAGAAAGUCACGGUGAAUACGUUUCCGGGCCUUGUACAGACCUCCCGUCACACCCUCCGAGUGGGUUCUU